AAAAGCAACUAACAAGAUUCCCUCAGUAACGGCGAGUGAACAGGGAAAAGCCCAGCACCGAAGCCUGUGGCCAUUUGGUUACUAGGCAAUGUGGUGUUCAGGUCGUUCCGCGGAGGUACUGCUCCAUUCCAAGUCCAGCAAUGAGUACGGUAAUGCUGACAUGGCCCAAAGAGGGUGAAAGGCCCGUUGGGGUGGAGUUGCAGUUAUGACAGUGCCUUCCUGGAUAGACCUUGGAGUCGGGUUGUUUGUGAAUGCAGCCCAAAGUGGGUGGUAAACUCCAUCCAAGGCUAAAUACUAACACGAGUCCGAUAGCGAACAAGUACCGUGAGGGAAAGUUGAAAAGUACUUUGAAGAGAGAGUAAACAGUGCGUGAAACCGCUCAGAGGUAAACGGGUGGAGUUGAACUGUGAACUCUGUGAAUUUAGCUGGUGAGUGUUGUUUGGGCUUGGCCAAAUUGGUUGAUACUUGGGGUCUGCGAAGUAGCAGGUCUCCGCCAUUCGGUGGGGAUGCGCGAUACACUUAUCAAGUGUUGCGCGCUCCAGGUUUAUUCGGGCCAGCUUGCCAGUGCACUUUUGCAGAGUGGUCACCACGACCGGCAUCGCUGUCUGGCUGUUGUGGUUAAACCGGCCGCGCAUUGCCCUUGUGGCUUUGUUUGGUCGGGAUGGCAGGUAGCUCGUUGACUAGCUUGUGGCUUGCUGCAGGCAUUGGUCCUCGAGUGUAAUAAGCUGACCGCAUCGGUUCUGUGCAGUAUGUCGGAGACGGCGGCUUGUGGUGUGUGCGUGCGUUCCAGUUGGCUGGCGUGUCCGGGUUUGGUUGUUAUCUUGCCUGUGUAUACAGGGCUAAUGAUAGCUCGGAUUCGUUCGGUCGGCGGUUGCGUGCGUGUCACUAUUUCCAGGGCCAAUAGUCUGUGGUGUUGCGGUAGACUAUCCACCUGACCCGUCUUGAAACACGGACCAAGGAGAGUAACAUGUGCGCGAGUCAUUGGGCGUAACGAAACCCAAAGGCGAAGUGAAAGUAAAGGUCUGGCUUGUCUGGACUGAGGUGAGAUCCUGUCGUUUCUCAUGCGCGGUAUCACCAAGCAUCGAGCGGCAGGCGCAUCACCGGCCCGUCCCAUGGUGUGGUGACCCUUUCGUAGAGUUUGUCACCGGGGCGGAGCAUGAGCGUACAUGUUGAGACCCGAAAGAUGGUGAACUAUGCUUGCGCAGGUUGAAGCCAGAGGAAACUCUGGUGGAGGACCGCAGCGAUUCUGACGUGCAAAUCGAUCGUCAGACGUGAGUAUAGGGGCGAAAGACUA
rnacentral:rRNA from 1 species